UUUCCAAUACGAAUCGAAUCCCCUCUUGACCCACCAAGAAGAAAUGAAGAGCAAUCACCGAUCACCAUUGAAUGGUCAAUGAAUGAUGAUAAUGCUUGACCCAGAUCAUGAUCGGCAUUAGAUUUAUGAUCGUGGUUAUGGUUUUAGUCACGGCGUCUCUUCUCCUGCUGCCGUUGGUGCUGCCUCCGAUAUCUCCGCCGCCCUUUCUUUUAUUGAUGGUUCCAGUGCUUAUCAUGGCUGUUCUACUCUUCUUGGCCUUCUCUUCCUCACAACCACCGCAUGUGGCCACCGCCUCCGCCGUUUGAAGCCUCUCAUCGGAGUCUUAGUUGCGAGGAGCCUGAUCAUGGGCCGGAUGAACCUAGGGGUGGGGAGGGAGGGGGGCCUAGCAGACCUUCCGGGGGAAUGGAGCAACGAUGAGUUGUUUCGGUAAUGUGACAUGUCACUGUUGUCUUAAAGACUAUGAAUUUGAAAGACAUGAAAAAAUACAUUGUAUCUUAUUCUUAAGAUUAGUGAAAACAACAACGACUCUCGUAGACAUAGCUUACAUUGACUGCGUUCAUCA